GAGUUUUUUUUUUUUUUUCCAUUAUAUAUCUUUGGUUUUAAUCCUGGAAAAUAGUGAAGGAAAGUGAAAUAAGACUCAGGUUAUUAUUGUUGAAUAGCUAGUGUUUGUUACAGACGCAAUCCUGAAUUUCUUCUGAAAUAUGCAUACCUCAUUGCUUGUUGAGAAUUCAUUGACCACUUCUAUUUUCCAAACGUCUGGUAUUUGUACAGGAAGCAGGUUAGUCCUUCUGCCAGCAUUACCUGAUUGUUAAUCAGAGAAUUCAAGGGUGCAUUAGAUAAACAUUACCUCAACUUUAUGGGUAUAUAAUAGUAAUGUACCUUAACUUUAAUUUAUAACACAAAGUCUCCCUAAUCUUUAAUUUAAGUAACAUAAAAUCCCAUAACUUUCAAUAGCCAAUUUUUAGGUUAUUUUUUUUGCUACCAUAGCACUUGUCAAAU
rnacentral:misc_RNA from 1 species